UACGUAGGGGGCAAGCGUUGUCCGGAAUCAUUGGGCGUAAAGCGCGUGUAGGCGGCCCAGUAAAUCCGCUCUGAAAGCCCGGGGCUUAACCCCGGGAGGCGGGUGGAUACUGCUGGGCUCGAGUCCGGAAGAGGCGAGUGGAAUUCCCGGUGUAGCGGUGAAAUGCGCAGAUAUCGGGAGGAACACCAAUGGCGAAGGCAGCUCGCUGGGACGUGACUGACGCUGAGACGCGAAAGCGUGGGGAGCAAACAGG
rnacentral:rRNA from 1 species